AAAGUGGAGCAAUCCAUGAGUAGAGUGGCAAACGGGUGAGUAACACGUGGGUGACCUGCCUUCGAGUGGGGGAUAACGUCCCGAAAGGGACGCUAAUACCGCAUUACAUCCUGCCCUUGAACGGGUGGAGAUCAAAGCUGGGGAUCGCAAGACCUAGCGCUUGAAGAGGGGCCCGCGUCCGAUUAGCUAGUUGGUGAGGUAACGGCUCACCAAGGCAACGAUCGGUAUCCGGCCUGAGAGGGCGGACGGACACACUGGGACUGAGACACGGCCCAGACUCCUACGGGAGGCAGCAGUGGGGAAUUGUUCGCAAUGGGCGCAAGCCUGACGACGCAACGCCGCGUGGAGGAUGAAGAUCUUCGGGUCGUAAACUCCUUUCGAUCGAGACGAACGGCUUCCGUGCUAAUCAACGGAAGAGUGACGGUACCGAGAGAAGAAGCCCCGGCUAACUCCGUGCCAGCAGCCGCGGUAAUACGGGGGGGGCAAGCGUUGUUCGGAAUUACUGGGCGUAAAGGGCUCGUAGGCGGCCAACUAAGUCAGACGUGAAAUCCCUCGGCUUAACCGGGGAACUGCGUCUGAUACUGGAUGGCUUGAGGUUGGGAGAGGGAUGCGGAAUUCCAGGUGUAGCGGUGAAAUGCGUAGAUAUCUGGAGGAACACCGGUGGCGAAGGCGGCAUCCUGGACCAAUUCUGACGCUGAGGAGCGAAAGCUAGGGGAGCAAACGGGAUUAGAUACCCCGGUAGUCCUAGCCCUAAACGAUGAAUGCUUGGUGUGGCGGGUAUCGAUCCCUGCCGUGCCGAAGCUAACGCAUUAAGCAUU
rnacentral:rRNA from 1 species